rnacentral:lncRNA from 1 species
GGUGCAACCAGUCACCUGGGUCAACUGAUGCUAUUCCGUGUGUUUCCUGCGAAGACCAAUUGGAUACAAUACCCCCUCUGCCCCUGCCAUUGCCCCAGUCCAAUCGUGAUACUGAGUUAAGUGAGUUAAUUUCUGAUGAUCUGUCUGUGUCUACUUAUCAAUUACCCCCACGAACUACUCGUGCGAAACCAAAGUACAAUAUUCUCC